UUUCUUUUAUGAGGUAGAUCGGGGAAAAGUCGCUACAAGUCGCUUUAAGCCUAGUUCUCACAUCGACAAAAACCACAAGCUAGCCAUAGGAGGGAGCGCGAGGCAAAUAGACGGCUAACGCUUUUCAUCGGGUCCGUUUUUCAGCGCGGUACUCAGAUGAGCUAAGGAAAUACCAAAAAAAUACCAGAUUUUGCGAGUGAAUUUCGAUGAACGGCGUUGGCCGCCGCGCGAAGAAUAAAAACUGUAAACUUUCGGAGGUCAGAGCAGAAGAAAAAGGUCGUCAGGUGGAAGCCUUAUCCAAGUUGCCCAUUAUUGUGGAAUUUGACCCACCGGAAGCAAUACCACAACAGAGCAAAUCAGCGGAAUAGUGGUAGUGCUGGAGAUAAUCCAAUCGAGUAGCCCAAAAAAAGUGGGACUUCGCUCCCUACAUGGACAUCCUGCCGGGCGUGUCCUUACAAAGAAAGUAAGUUCUGGCCAAAAGCAUUUGGUUACGUUGUACUAAUAGAAAUCUCCGACGAGCUCUUCUUUGGGAGCCCAAAGACCCUUCAACUCCACCAGCUACUUGGCACCUACAGCGGAGAUGGAGGAUGCGCUGGCUUUUAUAGGGAGGAGGUAAAAAGGUCGCCCGCUAAGAGCUGGAGGAGCCAUUGCCAGGAUGCUGGGCGACUUCCUGCAACAUCAGCGGAACAACUUCACACUACAAAGAACAGGAUUUUUCGACUAGUGAAACUCUUAGCCGAUCUCAGUACUAGGCCACCAGGACGGAGUGUUCCUCCGGGUUUCAGAAUUUCCUGCAUGGUUCGGAUCUGGAAGUUCCGUCAAUGGGAAUUCUUGAGGUGUCCAGUCCCCUGACGUAGGACUCAUUAAGUGUCGUAUGCUAUUCACCGAAACUAUUUGGGGUCCCAAUGAAUCGGUUUCCUGAGUAGUCAGUUCGCUUAAAAACAAAUAAAUGAG